ensembl:lncRNA
GGAGGCAGAGUGAAACUAACAACUUUUUUGCUCACGGAGAACUGGAGAACUGCAUGGGACGGAAACUGCAUCGGAAGUUGGAAGCAGCAAGGAAAACGCUGGACACUGCUUCCAGAGCGGCCUUCCACAGUCGGCAGUUGCCUGAUGUAAUCCUGAAGUUGGAGGGUGUGAUCUGUGACAAAUGGACCUGAGUCAAGGACAAGAUUUCCUUCAUGAAUAGACUUUAUCCAGUUAGUCACAGAGGAAGUAAAUAUGAAGGGGUCAUAUCAGAGUUUAUCUUCAGUGCAUCCAAGGGCAGACUUCCUGUGACCACCUCACCCCAACCAGGUUCGUUGUGAAGGCUCAAACACCAGUAUAUGGCUCUACUGGGAGGUGGUGGAGACUUCGAGAGGUAGGAAGAAGUGAGUCAUUGGAGAGAUGCCAUUGGUGGGUACACUGGAGCCCUGACCCUUCCUCUUGCUGUCUGUUUCCUGGUUUCCAUGAGAUCCACAAUCCACUGAGAAUUUAAUUUGGCUAUGGCAUGAGACAGAAGUCCUGAUUCACUUGUCAUGUAUGAAUAUAUACAGCGAUCCACCACCAUUUACAGGAAUACACCUCCACUGUUCUGUAUCCCACUGGUUUCACAAGUUAACUAUGUAAACCAGGUGUGGUGGUACACACCUGUAAUCCCAACACUCUAGGAAGCUGAGACAGGAGAAUGGUAAAUUCAAGCCCAGAGUGGGUUACUCACAGUCAUAGCAAGAAUUUAUCAUGAAAAAAUAAAACAAAAAAAUGGGUUGGGGAUAUAGUUCAGUGAGAAAGCCUCUGUGUUCAAUCCCUAGAACUACAAAAAAUAUACUAAAAAAUAAAAUGUAUAUAUCAUAAGAGGUAAGAAAAAACAUUUUUAAAGAGGCAUGAGAAAGAUUUAUUAGAGGACUAUAUAGAACACAUUCAAGAGCAGAGAAUGGGUGCUCCAAGAAAUGAGGAUCAGUAAAAUAUAUUCAAUUCAUCCAUAUUUCCUUAAAUGCCCUAAUAAGCCCUUAUUCUUAGACUUAGUUCGGUCACGUAGUGGACAAGGACAAGGACGCUGGAAAAAGACUCAUUCCACAGAUAAGUUUUCUCAAACCUGGGGAGCCAGCAGGUUGAAAAUAACUAAAGAAUAAUACAGACAG